rnacentral:lncRNA from 1 species
CAGGUGGCAGCCAAGAGCCUCCUGGCACAGCGGCACCAGGCAGGUGACGCCUAUUGGACCCCAGAGGUCAUCCCAGCUCCAGACGUGGACACAUUUUCUUCCAAUGAUGUCUACGGAUGAGGAAACUGAGGCCUGGAGAGGUUAAAGAGACCCGUUCAGAGUCCUACAGUGGCAGACUGGUCUUCUGAGGACCUCUGCCCUCUACACAGCGGCCUCUUCAGGUGCAGGGAGGAAAUGGAAGCACGUUCUAUGCUGGUUCCACCCCAGGCAUCUGUGUGCUUCGAGGAUGUGGCUAUGGCAUUCACACAGGAGGAGUGGGAACAGCUGGACCUGGCCCAGAGGACACUGUACCGAGAGGUGACACUGGAGACCUGGGAGCAUAUUGUCUCCCUGGCUGGAGCAAGAAGAGGACCUGUGCAGGGCAGAGCAGGAGGCCCCCCGAGGAACGAGGCCCAGCAAAAAGCAGAGACGGUACAGGGCCAGAAGGAUCUGAGAGAGUGUGGCCAGCUUGAGCCCUCAGGAGUCGGCCAGAAGGAUCUGAGAGAGUGUGGCCAGCUUGAGCCCCUCGGGAGUCAGCUCCUCCGUCCCCACUGGUAACGUCUUCACCCCUUCAACACGGUGUGAAGGGCCAUGUCAUGGUUGAUCUUCAGUCCCUCAGACUACACCAUCAGCCCCAUGGGGGUGAGCAAAUAACAAGUAACUAUACUGUUCCCUGCUAUGUGUCUGGCUCUUGGUAAAAUUUAAAAA